AGCAGCGGGGCUCUGCCGCCGCCUACUACGGUAGCAACAGGCCAAGGAGUCCCCGUUCCUCUUGCUCCUGAGGGCGGGCCGGGAUGGAAGCAGGCAGGGUGUUGUUCUUCGCCUUCGCAUAGAAGAAAGCCUGAAAAGAGCCGGCGGAGGCGUUGCAGAAGCCGGGAGGCCAGAAUUCGCGACCAGUGUUUUAGAGCGUUCAGAGCACUUCACGUACGUCGUUAUCUGGCUGUGAUCUUUGCAAGCGAUUGUUACUGUCUUCAUCAUACUGCAGUGCAAAAAUACAAGGCCAUCUAGUGAGUUCGUGUGAGAGGAGGUCGUUAUCCUGCAGCAGCAAUUUUGGUUCGUGUUGGUAUUAGUGUGUUAACGCUUUUUCUAGCCAAGGAGAAUCAGCUAUUUUAAAAAAAAACUACUAAAGCACUUCGGCGACAUCUAGUGUCAAUUAAGUGGUAUAGUCUGGCUUUUCGUAAUCUGUGAAUGUUUUAAAUUGUUGCUUUAAUGGUUCUUUUAUUCUGCUUUUAUUGUGUUUACUUUGGUGAACUGCCUAGAGCCUUUGGGGUCAGGCCGUAUAUAAAUUAAACAAACAAAUAAAUAAUACAACGUUGAAAGCA